rnacentral:misc_RNA from 1 species
GCAAACUUGGUCAUUUAGAGGAAGUAAAAGUCGUAACAAGGUUUCCGUAGGUGAACCUGCGGAAGGAUCAUUAUUGAACAAUCAAACCCUGUGGACAGUGUUGUAGCUGGCUCCUUUACGGAGCAUGUGCACGCCUGCCUGCAAUUUGUUCUCCAUCCACCUGUGCACUCUUUGUAGGCUCACGCAGUGCUGGCGACUAGAAGAGGGGUUAGCCCCUUUUCGAAAGCUGCAUUUUGUGGUCUAUGUCUUUCAUAUACACGAUGAAUGUCUUAGAAUGUCUUGUUAUAUUCAAACACAAAUAUAACUUUCAGCAACGGAUCUCUUGGUUCUCGCAUCGAUGAAGAACGCAGC